rnacentral:rRNA from 1 species
UACGUAGGGGGCGAGCGUUGUCCGGAUUUAUUGGGCGUAAAGAGCGUGUAGGCGGUUCGGUAAGUCUGUCGUGAAAUCCUGAGGCUCAACCUCGGGCGUGCGAUGGAUACUGCCGGGCUAGAGGGUGGUAGAGGCGAGUGGAAUUCCCGGUGUAGCGGUGAAAUGCGCAGAUAUCAGGAGGAACACCCGUGGCGAAAGCGGCUCUCUGGGACGGUACUGACGCUGAGACGCGAAAGCGUGGGGAGCGAACAGG